rnacentral:tRNA from 1 species
GGAGGUGUAGCUCAGUUGGUAGAGCACGAGCCUGAAGAGCUCGGUGUCGGUGGUUCGAUUCCACCCGCCUCCA